UACGGGGGGAGCAAGCGUUGUUCGGAUUUACUGGGCGUAAAGAGCUCGUAGGCGGCUUGUCGCGUCGACUGUGAAAUCCCGCGGCUCAACUGCGGGUCUGCAGUCGAUACGGGCAGGCUAGAGUUCGGUAGGGGAGACUGGAAUUCCUGGUGUAGCGGUGAAAUGCGCAGAUAUCAGGAGGAACACCAGUGGCGAAGGCGGUGCUCUGGGCCGGAACUGACGCUGAGGAGCGAAAGCGUGGGGAGCAAACAGG
rnacentral:rRNA from 1 species